GAUGAACGCUAGCGGGAGGCCUAACACAUGCAAGCCGAGCGGUAUUUGUUCUUCGGAACAGAGAGAGCGGCGCACGGGUGCGGAACACGUGUGCAACCUGCCUUUAUCUGGGGGAUAGCCUUUCGAAAGGAAGAUUAAUACCCCAUAAUAUAUUGAGUGGCAUCACUUGAUAUUGAAAACUCCGGUGGAUAGAGAUGGGCACGCGCAAGAUUAGAUAGUUGGUGAGGUAACGGCUCACCAAGUCAAUGAUCUUUAGGGGGCCUGAGAGGGUGAUCCCCCACACUGGUACUGAGACACGGCCCAGACUCCUACGGGAGGCAGCAGGGAGGAAUAUUGGACAGUGGUUUAGCGCCUGAUCCACCCAUCCCGCGUGAAGGACGACGGCCCUUGGGGUUGUAAACUUUUUUGUUAAAGGGAUAAACCUACUCUCGUGAGAGUAGCUGAAGGUACGAUACGAAUAAGCCCCGGCUAACCCCG
rnacentral:rRNA from 1 species